rnacentral:rRNA from 1 species
CAGCAGCCACGGGAAUACGGAGGGUGCAAGCGUUAAUCGGAAUUACUGGGCGCAAAGCGCACGCAGGCGGUUUGUUAAGUCAGAUGUGAAAUCCCCGAGCUUAACUUGGGAACUGCAUUUGAAACUGGCAAGCUAGAGUCUUGUAGAGGGGGGUAGAAUUCCAGGUGUAGCGGUGGAAUGCGUAGAGAUCUGGAGGAAUACCGGUGGCGAAGGCGGCCCCCUGGACAAAGACUGACGCUCAGGUGCGAAAGCGUGGGGAGCAAACAGGAUUAGAUACCCCUGUAGUCCCUGUCUCUUAUAC